ACGCCGGAAGUGGCGGCAGGAGCGGGAGCGCUGAGGUGUCGGCCGGCAGGGCAGUGGCCCGGGGCGGGGGGCGCUGGUCAUGUUUCCCUUCGGGCCGGGUAGCCCCGGAGGGGACGAGGCGGCCGGGGCCAGGGCUGAGGAGCCGGCACCGCACGGGAGGCAGGGGGCAGCCGCCGGCCCGCUCCCUUCCCCUCCCGCGCCCCCUCAGCCGGGGGCUGACGCCGCCCCUCCCCCAUCGCCCUGCGGGAGCCCUCCCCGCCCGUGCGCCCCCUCGCUGCUCCCAGCCGGGCGCGCUGGGGAGCUCCGGCAGCCCGGAGCUCUAGAGUCCUCAGCCGCUUCCGCCCCGGGAGAGCCGUCACCGCCCUCCCCGCCCCGCCGGCGACCCGGGCCAGACUGCCGGGCUGGACGCCGGUACAGCCUCGGCGCCGUCCUGGGGGUUCCUGGCGCCCGGCUGUUCGGGUGGCUGAGAGAGCGCAGCCUGGGCCGCGGGCUGUUCGUGGACCCGGCGCGGGACAAUUUCCGCACCAUGACUAACCUCUAUGGUUCCAUCCAUCCCGCGGACUCGGUAUACCUCAGCACCCGCACCCACGGGGCGGUCUUCAAUCUCGAGUACUCUCCCGACGGGUCAGUGCUGACAGUUGCUUGUGAACAGACUGAAGUUCUGCUUUUUGAUCCUAUAUCUUCAAAGCACAUAAAAACACUUUCCGAAGCUCAUGAAGACUGUGUAAAUAACAUAAGGUAAUACAUGCACGUGGUACAAAAUUCAAAGGUACAAAAGGGUAAACAGUGAAAAAUUUCUUGAUAACCGGCUGUUUGCUACCUGCUCUGAUGACACUACAAUAGCAUUAUGGGAUCUGAGAAAACUGAACACCAAAGUAUGCACUUUACAUGGUCACACUAGCUGGGUGAAGAACAUCGAAUAUGAUACUAAUACAAGACUCUUAGUAACGUCAGGAUUUGAUGGAAAUGUCAUUAUUUGGGACACCAACAGGUGUACAGAAGAUGGGUGUCCACAUAAGAAAUUCUUUCACACACGUUUUCUUAUGCGAAUGAGACUAACACCAGAUUGUUCCAAAAUGUUGAUCUCAACGUCCUCUGGAUAUCUCUUGAUUUUGCAUGAUCUUGACUUAACCAAGUCUUUAGAGGUAGGCAGUUACCCCAUUUUGAGAGCAAGAAGAACUACAUCAAGUUCAGAUCUUACCACUUCAUCGAGUUCAUCUGGUCCUAGAGUUUCGGGUUCACCUUGUCAUCAUAGUGAUUCUAAUUCCUCUUCUGAGAAACACAUGUCACGAGCCUCACAGAGAGAAGGAGUUUCACCAAGAAAUAGUCUUGAAGUGUUAACCCCUGAAGUUCCUGGUGAGAGAGACCGUGGAAAUUGUAUCACAUCCUUACAGUUGCACCCAAAAGGCUGGGCCACUCUUCUUCGGUGCUCAAGCAACACGGAUGAUCAGGAGUGGACUUGUGUCUAUGAAUUCCAAGAAGGAGCUCCUGUGCGACCCGUCUCACCUCGUUGUUCUCUACGACUGACUCAUUACAUUGAGGAAGCCAAUGUAGGCAGGGGUUAUAUCAAAGAACUUUGCUUCAGCCCUGACGGGCGAAUGAUUUCUUCCCCACACGGCUACGGGAUUCGCUUGUUAGGAUUUGACAAGCAGUGCAGUGAACUGAUUGACUGUUUGCCCAAAGAAGCCAGUCCCCUGCGGGUGAUCCGUUCUUUGUACUCUCAUAAUGAUGUGGUACUGACGACAAAGUUCUCUCCAACACAUUGCCAGAUCGCCUCCGGGUGCCUUAGUGGACGGGUUUCUCUGUAUCAGCCAAAGUUUUAGGCACAACUUACAUCAACUAAGGAACUUUUCUGGUGUUUGACUUAUGUAUUACUUCAAUUUAGGUGAAGUAUUUUCUUUUUAGAAGAUCUUAAAAGUUUUGGUCAAGAUCCUGGUUCUUACGGGUCCACAAACACACCUGUGACCUGAGUACUUGGUUGUCCAGCAUCAUGCGGGCAUCGCCAAAUUAGACUCGAGGCAGCACCAUCUUUUGCAGCAUUCCUCUGCUCCUGCUGAUCUGUGCCACUGAACUCCAGUUCUCCUGGUUAUUUUGCAUGGUAGCUCUUGUCAAUUUUCUUUCAAUUCUGUUUUGUUUUUUGAUUUUGGUGUGAAUUUUGUGGACAUUUGGCAGGAGUUUUGGCUGGAUUAGGAGAAACUCAUAACACUAGUAUUGAAUAAAACCCAGAAGUUUGAUAUUGGCAUACUAGUUGUUGAAAAGAAAUUUCACCUUCACUUACCAGUAUACUUGGCCUGUUAAAGUUGCUAUUACAUUUCUCUGAAAUGAGCACAGAUAAUGGCAUUAUUCUUAUAACUCUUACAGUCUUGCAGCAAAAUGUCUUUUAAGCUUCCUGUUAAAAUUAUAUGUAUUUUUUCACCAUGAGAGAGAUUUUGUUGUGAGAUUCUAAGGAAAAAAAAAAAUUAUCAACUCCCUUUGUAAUUUACUUGUAUGAAUUUUUAAAUUUCUAGCAUGUGUCUAGCAGGUAUUUUGUUCCUGUCAACAGCAUUAGAAAGGAAAAGAGGAGAAGGAAUGGGCUUUGGUCAUUUUUAUUGUAGAGAAGAGGAUUUAUUUAUGAGAUGAGUACACUAUAUGACUACAGAGUGUUGAGAACGCUGUGGCUUAGAUUUUCUCUUUCCUCCGCCAGAUCAUUUGAAUCACACAAAUGAUGGCUGGGGGAGAAUUGUGAGUAAAGAGGUUGUGUUUUCCUUAUCUUUCUUUCUUGAGCUCUGCUCUUACCACUAAUGAGGGGAAAACGGCAGUUGUCUUCAAGCUGUUGUCAUAACUAUGGCGGUCAGUGACUUGGGUGUCAAGACUAAGACCAUCUGUUGUGUUUGGUUAUGGAACACAGCAAGUCAAAAGCACCAGGCAGGGGUCAAGCACAAAGCUGACUGCGCUGCUGAAGUAAGCAGCUUUUUUCUAGUCUCUUCCACUUUGAAUGGUAUUGUCCUCAGAAGAGAUUUACCAGCAGCUGGAGUAGUUCAAGCCACAUGCUAGCUUUUUCCCUCUUAGAUCACAUUCUCUUAGGCCAGUGGUUCUCAAACAUUAGGGUGCAUUAUAAUCAUUGAGGAGCUUGUGAAAAAUACAGAAACCUAACCCUCACCUUAGGAGGUUCUUACUCAGCCAGAGAGGACAGGAAUCUGUAUUUUUACAGGAACCCCAAGAAAUCUUUAUUCAGGUGGUUCCUGGAUCACAGCUUGAAACAUCCUACCUUAAACAUCAGUAAAUACUUCUUUACCCAUUAGGUGCUUAUUAAUGUAACUCCCAGAAGGUAUUUUGAUUAUUUAAAAAAUGAGCAAAUGAAAGCAAUUUUAGAGGUAGAAAUUAACUUAAAAUGGACUAAACUUCAUUAUUUGAUGAAUUAGAAGUUAAAUGACUUUACCUAAGGUCAUCCUGCAAAAUUAGUGGCAGAGCCAGGACUUGAAUUCAAGUCUCUUAAUUACUUGCUCAGGGCAAUUUCUACUGUAUUGUGCAGGGUGUUAAAACAAUGAUUUAUGAAGUUUAUUUUGUCUUUAGGUUGUAUUAUUGUGAAUACCCUUAUACUAGCCAAUAGAUUGAAAAAGGAAGGCAUGGGUGUAUCAAUGCUGAGAAUUCCAGCCAUAAGAACAUAGUUUAAAUCUUAUAAAAAUAUUUAAGCAACCCAAAUACAUGAGUAAAAAUGACAUUUUUUGUAGGACUUAGCAGACAGCCAUUCGCACAUGUAUAUACAUCUCACUUUGAUAAUGCUGGCUCUAGGACGGAUUUAAAAAAUUAGAUCAUCUUACCAUGGAUGUUAAAGAAAAACUGGAAAUUUUUUAGUCAUCAAAAAAAUUACCACAGUGAAAACACACAGGUUUGCUGUGAACGUCUAAGAAAAAAAACACCUAUUAUAAAGAAAAUAAAGUUUUUGAGACAAAAACAAUGUUGACAUUGAAAAUAAGCUAUUAAGACCAGUGGUAGUAUUGAUAAUCAAAAGAAGGUUCCAUACAUACAUCUCCUUUGGAGAGAUCCAUGUCAGAUGCUGGACCCAAAGGUUGCCUAACUCUAAAUUUCACUCCAUGAUUCUUUAACCACUAUAGAUAGAAUGCCUAUCAUGUGUCAAAUAAUUUACUACUUAAUCCUCACAAAAACUACAAGGUAAGUGGCAUGGGCACCAGUUUACUUUAGAGGAAAUGGAGGAUCAAAAAGGUUAAGUGAUUUAAGCCACAGAGCUGGCAUGGGGUGGCAGCAUUGGGCUUCAGAACCAGGUCUGUUUGAGUGCCAAGCCUAUGCUUGCUACUCCACCAUUUUGCCCUUUAGUUUGUAAAGACUGGCAAACUGGCCUGUUAAUUUACCUGUUUAACAUCCUCUGGAGGUGCUUUAUGACAGAGCUGGCUUAUCUUCCUCACUGUAUAAAGGAACAUUUACAAGAUUGACAAUUUCUCUUAGAAUUAAUGCCAUAAACUGCAGGGCAUACAGACAGUCCACUCCUAACUAAAAAUCCUCAAGCAGGAUAAAUAGCCUCAUAUAAAAACAGCAAAUUCACAUCCAGCAAACUCAACAAAACCUUUGUCCUCUUUGAGUUUUGGUCUUGAGCAAAAAGUCCGGGGAUAUCGAUCAAGGAAUUCAAGGGCAUCAGGAAUGUUAUAUACUAUUGGAGGAAAUGACAUUUAAAAUUUCAAAAUCCCAUUUCACUUAAAGUACAAAAUCUAAUCUGGUGUGUUUAAAUUUUAUUUAGUCAUUUUUAUUCAUGAUAGUUGAUAAAUGUAUUAUAAUUGAUAAUUGUUGGUAAGUAUAGUACAAAGUAUACUUCUAUCUUAAAAAUCUUUCUGCACAACAGUAUAGUUACGGCAAAGCUACGUUGAAUGAGUUUAGGAACAUCAAAUAUACAAUAGUGCCCUAUUUUCAAUUGUGAAAAUGAAGUGGCUGAUGCAGAAGAGACCUCUAUUUUAAUCUUUUGCAAUUGGGUGUUGUCUUCUUUUCUCAAGACUAAAGAACAUGUAUGUUUUGUUAUUUCUCCUUGUUACAUCCCUGAGAAGAGGCUCUACCAAAAAUCUUAGAGAACAGACACAGAAAGGUCGAUAUCACAUGUUCCCCACUCGUAGGUCUAGACCCAGGAUCAUAUUCUGUCACUGUUAAGGCUUUUUCCUUAGAAAGUGCAAUAUAGGAAAACACUUUGAGAAUCUUUUUGAAGCCUGGUGUUCCCCAUUAUUAUUAGAAUCUAUGGUAUUGCCAUCCAUAAGUAUCUGUUAAGCUUGUGUUUAGUAAGAGACAUAGUGUGAUAACUUACUGAGGACAAUCAUCCACAUAAUGUACCAGCUGACCCUGAGCGCUAUGAAAAUUCACUCAGUAACACUCUGUGUUGGUCAUGAGAGAAAACAUAUAUAUUAAUUUUGGGAUAAUUAAUGCAUAUCUCAAGUGCCAAAAUAUAAAACUUGUAAUUAUUUUUGAUGCAAAUCUUUCAGAUAUGUUAGUAUACCUACCUGCCUUCUUAAACAGCAUGCUCAGUACAAUUUGUUUCUUCGUGUUGAAAAGUAAAAGUUAUAUCCAUUGUGUUGUUACCAAUAUCCAGUGAGCUCUGAUGUAUGUAAAAUACUUCACAAAAUGUAAAGGGCUAUAACAAAUAUGAGUUAAGAUCAAUUAUUAUAAAGUGAUUCCCUCAGCCCUGAGGUGUAUAUAUAUUUGCCUCAGAUUCUUGGUGUGGUUUUUUUCUUUCUAAUUUAAAAAAAUUUGUAUCUGCUAAGCAGUUUGUUUUGCUUGAGUGGUCUCCUACCACACUAUCAAUAUGCCUGUCUCUGACAGGCUCCCUACUUCCUUCUAAUGUGCCGUUUUCAUCUGUUAGGAGCUGGGACAUGAGAUAGCAAGUCUGCUUAGUGUCUCAGGAGGUGGCUGAGCUCUGGGAGCCAUCUGUGAGACAGCUCUCUUCAUUGCUCACCACUUUCCUGACAGGUUCACAAUAAUUCUAUAGAUAAUAGAAGUUCUCAGUUAAAGCCCAAGCUAGUGAUUGUCUCAGUUGCCACUAAGUAAAAUACUACAAGCUAAGGAUGCUGCUAGAUUAAGGAAGAGCAAUGCACCAAAGUACAGGGAAGCAAAAACAGACUGUAUUUGCACAAGGGUCUUUCGUGCUUUUAAGAAAAAAGAAGAGUGCAGAGGGAAAAGGACAGUGAAAAUCCAGAUAGACUUAAGGGUAUCUAUCUUUGAUGCCAUUAAACUUUGUCAAUAACCAUAAAAAUAUACACUUAAAUUAUCACACAUGAUACAAAGACACAGUUUAGUCUCAGUACAGAAUAAGAUAUUACUGAAAUUUAUAAACAUUCUUAAGAAUUUCUCCCAUUCAAAUUAUAAUGGAAAUUAUUAUCAAAAGGAAAGUCUCAAAUUUAUCUGUAUGCUGCUUUCUUUAGCUAUAAUGAAUUAGUGAUAGAAAAAUGGGUUUUAGCAAAAGCUCCAGGGAAUAAAUCUCAAAUGCAUACACCUCCUCUAUCAUAUAUGUCACUAUAAAUGAAAAUGCCAGAGAUAAUUUUUAAAAUUUAAAUCUGGUCCAAAGUAUUUAAAAUAGACUUUUCAGCUUUCCUAAGUUUUUUCAUUUAGAAUUCAUGGUUUUUACAUUACUGGUUGAAUAUGUGAAUUUUCUUGUAAAAUGCACUGCAUCUUCCAUUUCCAAACCCUGCUUUCUGAUCAACUUUAGAUUCACAUUUUCAGGAAAUUUGGAGUGUUUCAGAAAAAAAUACUAGACACCACAAAGUUUUCUCACCAGAUUCUGAGGUGCUGUAUAUUCUUAUUAUGCUAGACUGUAAGCCCCUUGAGGGCAGGAACUGUCUUAUUUAUUCUAUUCUAUUCCCAGUGCCCAGCAGGAUCAAUAAAUUUUUCUUGAAUGAAUCAAAUAUA